AGGCGCUGUGCUAACCGCAAGGAGGCAGGCGACCACGGUAGGGUCAGCGACUGGGGUGAAGUCGUAACAAGGUAGCCGUAGGGGAACCUGCGGCUGGAUCACCUCCUUUCUAAGG
rnacentral:rRNA from 1 species